rnacentral:lncRNA from 1 species
UUGCCCUAGAAUUGUCUAUAAAAAGAUCCCUCUCAUUCAUUGAGGGGACGAGAAGAUGAGACUUGAAAAUCUUCUGAAAAAUCUAGCUUCCAGUUUUCUGAUUUUCUUUCUAUUUACAAAAGUUUGGAAGGGGUUUUCUUUGAAUUUCUGGAUUCAUGAGCUGAGAAAUGAGCUGCCAUUUUGCUGUUGAUUCUACUAUUUUCUGCUAUCUUCUUCUGACCUUAGAGAUACCCUUUCUCAUUCUGUUUACCUGCUGUAUCCAGGUACUCUUUGAACCAUGAAUGGAAAAUGGAACGUAAAGAUGCUUGUAUGGAAGAUAUAUUCAUGUUGAAAUUAAUGUAGUUGUUCAGGUUAAACUUCAACCUUCAUAUUCUUUUAAGCUAUUCAGCUCUUUUUCUUUCUAUUUUUUUUUAGCUCUUACUUAAAAAUGAUAAGCUUGUUGUUUUAUUCAAUGGUUAGUUGGUUGUUCAAUACAAAAUGCUUAGUAGUUUAUUUUAUGUACUGUAUUUGCAUGAGAAUUUUUGUUGAAGACAAUGUAUAAACAGAUCGUCCUUGUAUGCUCAUCGAAUUGGAUAUUGAUUAAUGUGUUGGUAAUGAUUCAUGUGGGGGAAGUUGAUGGAUCUGUUCUGAGGUCCAAGUUUUGUGUACUCUUAGGAAAAGAAGCUCUAUGUUCAAUCCCUAAAUCAGCUCUCUUAUUUGUUGCCUUAGCAUUCAUGUAUAGUAAGUAUGAUCGAAUUGACUUAAUGGUAGCUAUUGGAUCUUUUAUUUCAAAAUUUUGUUCUAGUUUAUAGCUAUUGAAUAUUUGUGUUCCUUCAUGAAUCUUGUUACAGUUAAGUGAGUGGAAGGGCUCUUAUGUUUGUGAAGUGGUCUGUCAUGUUAUUGCUCUAUUUUAGUUGAAAGUAGUUCGAAAUUUGGUGAUGAAUCACAUUCCUCCACUUUCCUUGUAGCCUGUUAUUUGGGGUUGAGAAAUAAAAUAACAGGAAUGGGUUUAGAGAAAAUCUUAAAGUGGGUCUCAUCAUGUUUUAAUUCACUUUCUUCGCCUUACCUUAUUUAAUAGUUGCAUUAUUUCGUCAUUUGUUUACUUCAUGUAUUCUGGCUAUUUUGUUGGCUUGAUUAGUUAAUUCUCCAUGCUUUGUGUACUUGGACGGUUGCUUUGCUGGAGUAGAGUUAAGUGAUGGUUGGGCAGUGGGAAUUGUGGGAGGAACAAAGCCCAUUAGUGAUUAAUUGGUAUGCAUAUUUUAGAAUUGGGCUUGGUCAAAUGUAUGAAUUUAAAAGCUUAAAAGGGAAUGAGCUUGAAUUUAGUAAAUGUACUCCAUAAUCUCGGGCUCCUUCUUGCCCACAUUCACCGCAGUAAGAACUACACAACCUUGAAUAUUCGUUAAUUUGCUUUAGGCGCGCUAUAAUAAAUCUUCAUAGUUACGGGUACGGUUCACGUGACGUAGUUGUGAUACGUAAUUUCUAAAUCCGGGUGUAUAUUUCAUGUGAUCCCACCAUAAUUUCAAACUAUUUUUUAAUAAAAUAAACAUGUCGUGAACCAUGGGUGCAUUUCAUGUAGUGUGGUUUAUGAUGUAUUCCAAAACAAACAAGUGUAAGACGAUCGUGAAUAAAUCCAUAAACACUAAAAGCGGUUAGAAAGAUAAAAAUGCACAUAGGUUUAAAAUGUGUAAUUAAUUAGAUAAAUUAGUCCAUUAAUAACAGUUGAGCGACCGUGCUAAAACCACGGAACACGGGAAUGCCUAACACCUUCUCCCAAGUUAACAUAAUUCGUUACCUGGAUUUCUGUGUUCGAAGACCAUAAAUAAGAGUCAAACUUCCUCAAUUCGGUAUUUUAAACUGGUGACUUGGGACACCAUAAAUUAUCCCAAGUGGAGACUUUGAAUUUGAAUAAAUAAUCCCAUUUUGAUUUUGUCACUUUAAUUGGAAAAACUCUCUUAUACCCCUUUCAGGUGGAAAAGGGAGGUGUGACACCUCCACCUCUAGCUGUCUGACCCCUACCUCUAGCUGGCUGAGCGGGCAGUGAAACCCCUGGUGCCAGAACCAUGGCAUGAGAACCCUGAUGUUGAGAUCUGUUCAAUGCUCGAGGCCAAAAUCUAGCAAUAUUCCUCGGAUCGCCACAAGUAUAACAAGACCUCGGCUACUGAGACUGCUGACCCUGAAACUGACCCUGUUGGCCUUAAUAACCACCCUAAAAACUCUAGAGUAGAGGUGUACUAAUAGGAGUUGGUGGUGCAUUGUAGGCUAGCUGAUCAAAAUACUGCAUAUGAGUGCCACGACCACCUGAAACACCGUGGGAAACCUGUAGUGAUGAAUGAAAUAGCCUGGGAAGAUGGCCUCUACCAAAAUUACCCCGGCCUCUAGAUGAGGACCUACUGAAUCCAUCGGUGUGACAAGGCCUCUUGUCAGACCCCUGACCACUCUCCUGAGCUAAAACCAUCUCAACUCGUCUAGCCACAUUGGUUGCAUCCUGCAAAGAAAUCUCGAUCCAUGUCUCCUUAACCAUCUGCAAUCUAAUAGGCUGAGCAAGUCCCUCAAUAAACCUCCUCACCCUCUCUCUCUUGGUAGGAAGUAUAAGAAGAGAAUGACGUGCCAAAUCAAUGAACCUAGUCUUAUACUGGGUGACAGUCAUAAGACCCUGCCGAAGACGAUCGAACCGUCUGCGAUAGUCCUUUCUCUGAGUGGUAAGAAGGAACUUUUUGAGAAAUAGCUGAGAGAACUGGUCCCAAAUCAAGGCAGGCGACCCAACUGAUCUAGUCAACACAAAAUCAAUCCACCAUCUCUUGGCGUAACCUGGCAGAAGAAAAGCAGCAAAGUCGACCCCAUUAGUCUCCACUAUCCCCAUGUUCUAUAACACCUCGUGACAACUGUCCAGAUAGUCCUGGAGAUCCUCUAAAGAUGUACCGCCAUAAGUAGUGGUGAAAAGCUUGGUAAACCUAUCCAACCUCCACAAGGCCUUAUAAGACAUAGUUGAUCCAUUACUGGUUUGUACUACAACACCCGGCAGAACUAACCCAACUAGCUGAGCUGCUAGAGUCUGAAACUGGGGAGCCAUCUACUCCGGAGUGUGAGUAGCUGGAGUCUGGGCUCUUCCCCCCGCCUGAGAGAUGGCUGGUGCUACUGGAAAUGUGCCACUCUGAGCAACACUCUCCAUAAGGCCCAAGAGACGGACCAAAGCAUUCUGAAGCAUUGGGGUGGCUAUGAACCCCUCUAGAACCAGAGUUGGUCCUGCUGGAACUGUCUGGGCUAGAGCCUCCUUAUCAAACUUUACCUAAGGCUCCGCCACUGGUGCUGUUGCGCGAUCUCUAGGCUGAGCCUUGCCCCUGCCUCAGCCUCAUCUUCUGCCCCUCAUAGGAGCUGCUACUGGGGGCUCGGGUUGCUGCUCAUCUAAAUAUGUGGUACGUGUUCUCGCCAUCUGCGAGAGAACAAGAGUAGAAGAAUUAAAUUAGCAAUGAGAGAAUAACGUCACACAACAGAGAAGAAUGGAAGUGAAAUUGUUCCUAAACUCUGUAGCCUCUGGUAGAUAAGUACAGACAUCUCCAUACCCUUCCCGCAGACUCUACUAAGCAUGUUCGUGAAAUGUGAGACCUAAGUAACCUAGUGCUCUGAUACCAACUUGUCACGACCCGAAUUUCCCACCGUCGGGAUCUUGAUGGCGCCUAACCUUAUUUCUAGGCAAGCCAACGUAUAGAAAUUAAAUACACUAACCUUUAAAAUAAUUUGCUAAAAGACAAUAAUUUAAAACAUAAUAAUUAAAUGAAAUGUGGAAGCUUAUAAUUACUCAAAUAUCUCAACAUAGCUACCCAAAACUGGGUGUCACAAUCCACGAACUUCUGAGAGUCACUACAAACACUUACUAAAGGAAAAUACAUAUUUCUUUGAAUUAAGAUAAAACAGUGAACAAGAAUACUAGAAGGGGACUCCAGGGUCUGCGAAUGCCGGCAGAUCUACCUUGGGUCUCCUGUAGGACUGAAGGCAGCAUCUCGACUAGGAUCAACACUCUCCCGCACCAAAAUUUGCACAAUGUGCAGAGUGCAGUGUCAGUAUAACCGAUCCCAUGUACUGGUAAGUGUCAAGCCUAACCUCCACAAAGUAGUGACGAGGCUAGGGCAAGACAAUAACAUGAACCUGUGCAGUUAAAUCAUGUACGAGAAAAUAACAACAAGUAGAAAUUAAGCAAUUAAUAACGGGAAGGAGGAUAACAUGCUGAGGGGGGAGAAAUUAGGUUAUGAAAACAAUAAUAAUAAAGAAACACAGUACACAAUAUAAUUGCACCAAUGAAAGUAAUAGACUUAGCAAAAAAAGUGCACGGCAUCACCCUUCGUGCUUUUACUCUCAUCCUCACUAUAAGAAACAAUAUAAAUGGCACGACAUCACCCUUCGUGCUUUAACUCUCUCAUAACAUGGCACGACAUCACCCUUCGUGCAUUAAUACUCACAGAAUUUGGCACGGCAUUACCCUUCGUGCAUUAACACUCACAGAAUAUGGCAUGGCAUCACCCUUCGUGCAAUGACCAUAUCGGGUCCUGAAAGCUGUCUUAAGAAUAUUUGAGUCUCUGAUCUUCAACUGGCGAUACCCGGAAUUGAGAUCAAUCUUGGAGAACACCCUCGCUCCCUGAAGUUGGUUAAAUAAAUUAUCAAUACGAGGCAAAGGAUACUUGUUCUUGAUUGUGACCUUGUUCAACUGCCUGUAAUCAAUGCACAUCCUUAUAGUGCUAUCCUUCUUCUUCACAAAUAGAAUAGGCGCACCCCAAGGCGACACACUAGGUCGAAUAAAUCCCUUAUCAAGGAGUUCCUGAAGUUCUUCCUUCAACUACGCUGGUGCCAUACGAUACGGUGGAAUAGAAAUGGGCUGUGUGUCCGACACUAAAUCAAUGCCAAAGUCAAUAUCCCUGUCCGUUGGCAUGCCCGGUAGGUCUGCAGGAAGCACAUCCGGAAAGUCCCUCACUACCGGGACUGAAUCAAUGGUAGGAGUCUCUGCAUUGACAUCCCUCACAAAAGCUAAGUAUGAAAGACAACCUUUCCCAACCAUCCACAGGGCCUUCAGAAAUGAAAUCACCCUACUGGGAAAAAAAUCAGUCGAACCUCACCACUCAAUCUGUGGCACACCCGGUGUAUCCAACGUUACUGUCUUAGCAUGACAGUCCAAAAUAGCACGGCAUGGAGAUAACAAAUCCAUGCCCAAUAUCACAUCAAAAUCAACCAUACAAAGUAACAGAAGGUCCACUGGGGUUUCCAAAGCCCCAAUAGUUACCACACACGACUGAUAUACGCGGUCCACAACAACAAUAUCGCCCACUGGAGUAGAUACACGAACAUAUGAAACAAGAGACUCACGAGGCGUAUCCAAAUAACGAGCAAAAUAUGAUGACACAUGUGAAAAAAUGGAACCAGGAUCAAAUAACACAGAGGCAUAUUUUUGGCAAACUAAGACAAUACAUAUAUCACAGCAUCUAAAGCAUAUCGGGUCUAGCUGGGAGUGCAUAGAAAUGGGCCUGACCACCACUUGAUCAACCUCCCCUCUAGGGAGACCCCUAGCUGACUGUCCUCCACCCCUAGCUGGUUAGGUGGGUGGUGAAGUAACUGGUGCUGAAGUCGAUGGCUGACUCCUCUACUGAGAUGAACCCCCAAGACGACAAGGACACUUCCUCCACAUAUGUCCCGACUCUCCAUACUCGUAACAACCCUCUGCUACUGGAGACGGGGACUAAAAGGAACCCCUAGCACCGGGAUGACUAGCAGAAGAACCUGGCAUAUAAGAGCCCUAGACUGAUGGAGCACACGACGAACUCUGGGCUGGAAGGGAACUGAGUAAGGAAUGACCCUGAUGAGAACUGUAAGAACCAUGGCCCCAUAAUGCCCCACGAUAACCUAAGCGAGCUGACUGAGCAUGCCUGAAUGGACGGCCUCUGUCGUGCUGAAACUGACCCCCGUGAGGAGUACCACUGAAUCCACCAUGACCACGAGGCCUCUUAGCCUCCCUCUUAAUCCUCUCCUGACCACGAACUAUCUCAAUAUGUCGAGCUAUGACAACAACCUCAUCUAAAGUAGCACCAGAUACUCUCUCUCUCUCUCUAGUCAUGAGCAACUGAAGCUGAAAGUCGAGGCCAUCUAUAAACCUUCUGAUCCUCUCCCGGUCUGUGGCAACCAACCAAACCGCAUGACAAACCAACUCAGUGAACCGCAUCUCAUACUGUGUAACAGAUCUAUCACCCUGACGAAGUUGCACGAACUGCCUGCGCAGCUCCUCUUUGCGAGACUCAGGUACAAACUUCUCUAGAAAAAGAACGGAGAACUGCUGCCAAGAAAGGCGCGCUGCACCAACCGGCCUACGCCUCUCGUAAGCCUCCCACCAACUAAGUGCAGCCCAUGAAAACUCGAAAGUAGUGAACGAGACCCCACUGGUCUCCAAAAUACACGCGGCCCCAAAGCAUCCUUUGACACUUAUCCAAGAAACCCUUGGCAUACUCUCCCUCUACACCACUGAAAAUCGGAGGCUGAAGUCUACCAAACCUCUCCAAUCUACGUUGCUCAUCCUCUGGCAUAACAAGAGUUACAUAGUCUUGGGCAGCUGCAACCAGCUGGGCUGGGGGUACCCCCGAUGUCUGAAGUCCCUGCACGACCUGCUCAGGUGUGCGAGCGGCGGGAGUCUGAGUGCCUCCCCCAGCCUGAGAAGUGGCUGCAGUUGUAGUAACUGAGACCGCCUGAGCUAGGCCAGUGCACACUGAUAGAAUCUGGGACAGGGACUCCUGAAGGCCUCCAAUCACAAUAGGUACAGCUGGUGCUGCUGGAGCGUCCACAACUGGGACCUAAUCAUUAACUGGGGCGGCUGGUGGAUCUGCAGGUGCUGCCCUAGCUCUUGUGCGGGCUACACCCCUGCCCUUACCACGGCCUCCACCGCAUACUCGGCCUCUAGCAGCCCCAACUUGUGGUACUGGUGGUCGUCCAUCCUGACCGGUAGCACGUAUCCUCACCAUCUGUGAAAGAAUAGAAUAACAUAAGUUUAGUACUAGAAUAAACAGAUUCACACGACAGGAAUUCAAGAAUAUGAAGUUUUUCCUAAAGGUUCUGCAGCCUCCCGAGGAUAAGUUCAGACUUCUCCGUACCGAUUCGCAAGACUAUGCUAAACUCGCUCAUGACUCCUGAGACCUAUGUAACCUAGGCUCUGAUACCAAAUUGUCUCGACCCUAAAACUGACCCGGUCGUGAUGGUGCCUAUCGCGAAACUAGGUCAGCCGACACAAACCCAAAACCAACCAGAAAAAUUAUAAGAAGUCAUUUUAAGCCAUUAAUAAACUAAAAUCCCAUAAUAUAAGUUUAAAUAAGCAGUGCGAAAAUAUAACACAAGCCCGACAUUGGGAUGUCACCAGUCAUGAGCAACUACAAACUCGUCUAGGAACAAGAAAAGACAACAUAGUCCAAAAAUAAAAUACUAAGACAAUCUGAGUAAUAUAAGAAGGAGAAGCACAGGGCUGCGAACGCCAAACAGCUACCUAGUCAACUCCGGAGACCUGCUGGAAGACUGAUCAGCACUCAUUAUCGCGUCCCGAAACUCUUGGAUCUGCACACAAGGUGCAGGGAGUAAUGUGAGUAUGCCAACUCAGUAAGUAAUAAAAUUAAAAGCAGCUGAGCAGUAAGAGAAUAGGUAAUUCCACAUCAUAGCGCUACAACAAAAUAGUAUAUGUCCAGAACAAUACAGUAAAUCAAUUAACUCGUAAAAAUAACUCAGUUCAGUAAAACCUUUUUAAAGCAUCUUUCAAUAGUUUCAAACGAGUGAUGAAAAUAGUGAGUAAAAGGAUAGAAACGUAAGCAUCCCUUCGGGCAAAACAUGUACCAUAAACCGCCCCUCGGGCCAAAUAUCAAUAGAAUCAGCCCUUCGGACUACCUCACAGUCACUCGUAAUCAGCCCCUCGGGCAGCAACAUGAAACAACAACAGCCCCUCGGGCAAUAUCACAUCACUUAGACUGGGUACUCGUGCUCACUGGGGGUGUUCAGACUCUAGAGGGGCUCUUAAAGCACAAGAGCUAUCACAAGCCAUCUCGUGGCAUAAUAAAUCAGGCCCUCGGCGUCUCAUAUAUCACAAAUCAGUACAACAUGCUACGGCGCGCAGCCCGAUCCCAUAAUAUCCUCACAACAUAGGCCCUCGGCCACACUUAGUUAGAAAGCCUCUCAAACCACUCGGGUAACAGUAAAACAUGAGGCUCAGCCUAAAAUAUCAUUUAAAAUAUCAAAAUGGAGUAAAUAUGACUGAGUUAUGAAAAUAGUAGAAUACAGCAUGAUUGAGUACAUAUUAAGUCAAAAUAGUAAGGAAUAGUGGUAAAAAGCCCCUAAGGGUCCAAAAUAGUUGUCACGAGGCCCAGAUAUGGCAUUCAUCCCAAAACAUAGCAAUACUUUCCAAAACACAAUGAUAUCAAACGGUUUUCAAUCAAAUAAGUGACUAAUAGUCAUACGGGACGGACCAAGUCACAAUCCACAAUGGUGCACGACCCCACGCUCAUCAUCUAGCGUGCACGUCACCUCAAAGUAGCACCACGAUGUGAAAUUCGGGGUUUUAUACCCUCAGGACAACAUUUACAAUCAUUACUUACCUCAAUGCGGUCAAAAUUCUGCCCGCGAUGCCUUUGCCUCUCGACUCGACCUCCGAAUUCUCCAAAUCUAGCCAAAAUCAGCAUCAUACCAUCAAUACGCGCUAAAGGAACAAAGCCCAAGCGAAAAUAAUCAAAUUAACUCAAAAAUCCCGAAAUUGGCCAAACCCAACCUCUAUGCCCACAUCUCGGAUUUGAUAAAAAUCACAUCACUAAAAUCCUUAUCCUCCCACGAGUCUAUACAUACCAAGAACAUCAAAAUAGGACCCUAAAUGGCCCAUCAAACCCCUAAUGGAAACUCCCCAAUACCAAGCCCUAAUUCUCAAAUUUUUAACCCUUAAUUUCCAAUAAUUUCAAGCCUAAUCAGUGAAAUAAUGCCAUAGAAUCGAGUAUUGGGUUCAAAAAUCUUAUCUCCAAGUGUUAUCCCUUGAAUCUCUCUUCAAAUCCUCCCAAAAAGCUCUCAAUCCGACUCAAAAAUUGUGGAACAAGGCUGAAAAUUGCGAAUGAAGGCUUAUAUAGCUUCAGGCCUAGGGAUUCCACACAUGCGGCCCCAAAUACGCACCUGCGCGACCGCGCCUACGGAAGUCACUUAUCUGCCCAAAACCCCAUCUGCGAUCAAUUAUCUGCACCUGCGCCAUCGUAGGUGCGCUGACCUCACCGCAUAUGCGGCUCCUGCCCUUCACCAUCUUGGUUGCAUCAGCAUCCCUUUCUUCGCUUCAGUGGGCCCGAACCUGCGGUCCAUAAUCCGCAGGUGCGGUUAUGAAAGGAUCAACAGCUGAAGCUGCCCAAACUCAAUUCCAAUCUUUCCGACAACCUUCCGAAAUCAUCUCGAGGUCCUCGGGACCUCAACCAAAAAUACGAAUAAGUCAUAUACCACUAUUCAAACUUGUACCAAUCCUCGGAACACUCAAACCAAUGUUGCAACACCAAAUCACCCUCGGAUUCAAGCCUAAGGAUUCCAAAAUAUCCAAAUUCCGCAAACAACCAAAAAGUCUAUCAAACCUCACCCGAAUGAUCUAAAAUUUUGCACACACGCCACAAAUGACACAAAGGACCUACUAUAAUUUCUGGAAUUCCAUUCUGACACCAAUAUCAAAAUUUCCACUACCAAUCGAAAAUCGCCGAAAUUCCAAUUUCGCCAAUUCAAGCCUAAAUCUACCACGAACCUCAAAAUACAUUCUGAUCACGCUCUUGAGUCCCAAAUCACCUAACGAAGCUAUUCGAACCAUCAGAAAUCACAUCCGAGACCUUUUACCCAUAAGCCAACAUCCGGUUGACUUUUCCAACUUAAGCUUAUGCAAAAGAGACUAAGUGUCUUAUUCCUCUCCAAAACCAUUCCGAACCCGAACCGACCAAUCUGAUACCAUAUAAUACAGUUCAACAAGAUGUAAGGAAGUAUAAAUUUAGGAAACGGAGCAGUAACUCAUGAAACGACCGGUCGGGUCGUUGCACUGGUGUCUGCAGUCCCUGAACAACCUACUCGGGUGUACGGGCAGCGGGAGUCUGAGUGCCUCCCCCGGCCUGAGAAGUAGCUGUUGAAGUAGUAACUGUGACCGCCUGAGCAAGACUGGUGCACACGGUCAGAAGCUGAGUCGAGGUCUCUUGGAGACCCGGAAUAAUAAUAGGCACAGUCGGUGCCUGAGUUGGUGCUGCUGGAGCAUCCCCCGCUAGAGCCUGAUAAUAAACUGGGGCGGCUGGUGGAUCUGCAGGUGCUUCCUUACUUGUUGUACGGGCUACACCUCUGCCCCUACCACGGCCUCGACCGCGACCUCGGCCUAUAGUGGCCCUAACUGGUGGUAGUGGUGGUCGUCCAUCCUGACCGGUAGCACGUGUCCUCACCAUCUGCAAGAGAAUAGAAUAACAGAAGUUUAGUACCAGAAUCAAAAAAUUCGCACGACAAGAAUUCAAGAAUGUGAAGUUUUUUUUCCUAAAGGUUUUGUAGCCUCCCGAGGAUACGUACAGACGUCUCCGUACCGAUCCGCGGGACUCUACUAAAUCUGCUCAUGACUCGUGAGACCUAUGUAACCUAGGCUCUGAUACCAACAUGUCACGACCCAAAAUCCGACCCAAUCGUGAUGGCGUCUAUCGUGAAACUAGGCCAGCCAACUUAUUACCAAAUACUCCAUAUUUCAUUUAAAACUUAAGUAAAACCAUAUUUUUAACAGAAAUCUGAUAAAAGAUAUAAAGUAAUAAUCAAAAUAAAGAGAAAAAUACAAGCCUGACCUCAGGUGUCACUGAGUUAUGAGCAAAAUACCAUAACGAUUAGAAAUAAAACCAGACUAACAUAGUUUGAGAAUAGCCAACAAAAUACACUAAAGGAAUAUAAGGAAGGAGAAGGCAGGACUACGAUCGCCAGGCAACUACCUCUCUAUCUCCAAGGAAAGUCCACCACUGAAAAGAUCAGCAACCGCUACCAUGACUCGAGAUACUUGGACCUGCACACAAGGUGCAGGGGGUAACGUGAGUACACCAACUCAAUAAGUAACAAGUCCAAACUAUGGACUGGCAGGUAGUGACUAACCAAACCUCAACAGGUAAUGUCAUUAAAUUGUACUGAAAAGUAGACAUGCUUGCAGUUCAGGCAAAAACUCAAUAGUAAAUAAAUGCAGUCUAAACCGUACGGAGUAGAAAGCUCAAGAAAUAUCUAUGUACCAAUGCACAAAUAGCAUGAUCAAUGUUCUAUGUACCUCCACUCACAAGUGCUCAACCACUUGGUACUGUAUAUGGCCAUCCGGCCCAGGGAAGAACCAUCCUGGAANNNNNNNNNNNNNNNNNNNNNNNNNNNNNNNNNNNNNNNNNNNNNNNNNNNNNNNNNNNNNNNNNNNNNNNNNNNNNNNNNNNNNNNNNNNNNNNNNNNNNNNNNNNNNNNNNNNNNNNNNNNNNNNNNNNNNNNNNNNNNNNNNNNNNNNNNNNNNNNNNNNNNNNNNNNNNNNNNNNNNNNNNNNNNNNNNNNNNNNNNNNNNNNNNNNNNNNNNNNNNNNNNNNNNNNNNNNNNNNNNNNNNNNNNNNNNNNNNNNNNNNNNNNNNNNNNNNNNNNNNNNNNNNNNNNNNNNNNNNNNNNNNNNNNNNNNNNNNNNNNNNNNNNNNNNNNNNNNNNNNNNNNNNNNNNNNNNNNNNNNNNNNNNNNNNNNNNNNNNNNNNNNNNNNNNNNNNNNNNNNNNNNNNNNNNNNNNNNNNNNNNNNNNNNNNNNNNNNNNNNNNNNNNNNNNNNNNNNNNNNNNNNNNNNNNNNNNNNNNNNNNNNNNNNNNNNNNNNNNNNNNNNNNNNNNNNNNNNNNNNNNNNNNNNNNNNNNNNNNNNNNNNNNNNNNNNNNNNNNNNNNNNNNNNNNNNNNNNNNNNNNNNNNNNNNNNNNNNNNNNNNNNNNNNNNNNNNNNNNNNNNNNNNNNNNNNNNNNNNNNNNNNNNNNNNNNNNNNNNNNNNNNNNNNNNNNNNNNNNNNNNNNNNNNNNNNNNNNNNNNNNNNNNNNNNNNNNNNNNNNNNNNNNNNNNNNNNNNNNNNNNNNNNNNNNNNNNNNNNNNNNNNNNNNNNNNNNNNNNNNNNNNNNNNNNNNNNNNNNNNNNNNNNNNNNNNNNNNNNNNNNNNNNNNNNNNNNNNNNNNNNNNNNNNNNNNNNNNNNNNNNNNNNNNNNNNNNNNNNNNNNNNNNNNNNNNNNNNNNNNNNNNNNNNNNNNNNNNNNNNNNNNNNNNNNNNNNNNNNNNNNNNNNNNNNNNNNUAUAUAUAUAUAUAUAUAUAUAUAUAUAUAUAUAUAUAUAUAUCAAUGACCGCAGUCAUCCAGUACCAAGGAAGGGUAUUCCAGCCCUGUGGAGAAGAUCCAUCUCCAAGUAUAAAGACUUCGGACAAGAUCCAUAUCCAGGGAAGAUCAAUCCCUCAAUAUCAUCAAAUGCGCUCACUAGAGGUGUGUUACAGACUCUGAAGGGGCUCCUAUAGCCCAAGCACUAUCAUAAUAAUCAACAUAACCGAUGUGGCGUGCAGCCCGAUCCCAUAUACUAUCACUCAUAACUAGGCUCUCGUCCUCACUCAGUCAUCACUCUCCAAUCUCACAGACACGGGCUCAAAAUAUCAUGAUACUAGCCCGAACAAUGAUUGAUGUGCCCAAUAACAAUAAUUGAGACUAAGGCAUGAUAUAUAAUGCAUGAACAUGACUGAGUACAGAAUAUCAAUUAAUAUAAUGAUAUGACAGCAAGAAACGACCUCUCGGGUCUCAACAAUAUCGGCGUGAAGCCCUAACAAGAUAUCUAGCAAAUUUUUGCAGCAAACAUACUUAAUCACUUGAUAGAAACAAGGAUAUCAAAAAGAAAGAGUUACUAAGCGGUGCCAUGGAAGGAUCCAAACUGCAAUUCUCACGGUACACGCCCACACACCCGUCACUUGGCAUUUGCAUCACCUCAAUAGGAAUAUAGAACAAAUAGUUCGGGGUUUCAAACCCUCAGAACCAAGUUUGGAAGCGUUACUUACCUCAAGCCAAACUCUAGCCCGCGACGCCCUUGCCUCUCGAUUCGACCUCCAAAUGCUCCGAAUAUAACCAAAAUCAGUAUAUAACCAUCAAUAUAUGCUAAUGGAAUGAAACCCCUACGAAAAUUAUCAAAUUAACUCAACAAUUCCGAAAUAUGCCNNNNNNNNNNNNNNNNNNNNNNNNNUGUUUAAUUCGUUAUAAAUUACCAUAGAAUCGAGUAUUGAGUUCAAAAACCUUACCUCCAAGUGUUUUCCCUCGAAUCCCUUUCAAUCCUUCUCAAAAAGCUUCAAAGCCGUUCAAAAAAAUGUGAGAAAUGGCCUAAAAAUCGCUAAGAUGGCUUUAUAUACAUUCUGCCCAGGUGUUUUUCUUUAAUCGCGAUCGCGGAAAGACCCUCGCGAUCGCGAAGAACAACUUUGCUGUCUCCUGAAACAACUCUACACGAAUGCGUCGAUCUCCAUGCAAACGCAAUGCUCUGCCCCUUACUCCUACGCGAUCGCGGACCACGGACCGCGUUCGCGAUGAACAAACGCAUGGCCCAGCUUUGGUCCACUUAACCUUACACGAACGCGACUUAACCCACGCGUUCGCGAUGCUUCUCCUGAUCAACCAACGCGAUCGCAGCCCUUAAUACGUGAACGCGAAGAACAAACUUGACUGCCUCCAUAAAUGCUCUGCGCGAUCGCGAGUCCCCUCACGCGAUCGCGAAGAAGGAACCUCUGCAAUAGAAAUACCAGCAGAAUCUGCUCCCCUUUCAAGUUCAUAAAUGACCCGUUGAGCAUCCGAAACACACCCGAGGCCCUCGGGACCUCAACCAAACAUGCCAGCAUAUCCCAUAACAUCAUUCAAACUUGUUUCAACCUUCGGAACGCUCAAAACCACAUCAAAAUAUCAAAUCACCAUCGGAUUUAAGCCUAAGGAUUUCCAAACUUCCAAAUUCCGCAAAUGAUGCAAAAACCUAUCAAACCUCAUCUGAAUAACCUAAAAUUUUACACACACGUCAAAAAUAACACAAUGGAUCUACUACAAUUUCCGGAAUUCCAUUCCGACCCCGAAAUCAAAAUUUUCACUGCCGGCCGGAAAACUCCAAAAUUCUAAUUUCGCCAAUUCAAGCCUAAAUCUACCACGGACCUCCAAAUUAUAUUCCGAUCACGCUCCUAAGUCCCAAAUCACCUAACGAAACUAUCCGAACCAUUAGAAUUCACAUCCAAGACCUUCUACCCAUAAGUUAAUAUCCGGUUGACUUUUUCAACUUAAGCUUACUCAAAAGAGACUAAAUGUCUCAUUCCUCUCCAAAAACCACUCUGAACCCGAACCAACAACCCGAUACCAGAUAAUACAACUUAACAACACAUAAAGAAACAGAAAUGGAGGAAAUAGAGCGGUAUCUCAUGAAACGACCGGCCGGGUCGUUACAAAAACCGUACGCUCAAGAGACAACACAUAUUCCCUCAGUACUUUCUUGAAUGCGUGCCCAUAUUGAAAAAAUUAUUAUUCUAUAAAUUAGGUAACAGAGUCAUUCUCCCUAAUUAGACUUAGAAAGAGUUAUUUUACCUAUUGAUAUUCCGGCCAUAUAGGAUUCUUUAUAAUUUUAGUCAUUGCGUUUUAAUUUGUUGUGAAGUUGAGUCUUAGAUUAUUAUAUUGGACAUUUUUAAUACUCAAUUAUUUACAUCAAUAUCACCACAGGUUUUCACCCGUAUUACCAAUAUAUUGCAUUUUAAGUUUUUUUUUACAGAUACAAGAUUUACUCAUCGACUUAGUGGGACCAUAGGACUAUUAGUUUAAAUUUAAAGAUUAUUAUGGGAUGGCGAAGUAUAAUUUAUGAUUAAGCUAAAUCGUUAACAUAGAAAAAGAAUCAUAAAAAACUUAAUCAUGUUAUUCUACAAAGUUAUUUGUUGAACAAGUCUUAUUUUUAAAAAGAUAUAAUGAUGCCUUUAGGAUGUAAUUUGGUUAAAAUUGUUAUGUAAAAUAUUUGGUCUAGGUUUAAUUUUGACAUUAAUAAAACGGUUAGCUAUUAAAUUUCUCUCUACUUGAAUUAUACAAAAAUUCUUAUUAUUUUAAAUUUUUAAUUUUGAGUAAGAUUUUGCUUUUAUAAAUAUUUUUCUUAUUCGUUAUAAUUUGAGAAAUCACUUAUAUAUAACUAGUACUCAUCCAUUUUACAAUUUAAACAUAAUUGUUAAUAAAAUGUCAUAAUUUUUAAUAAAAUGUUUAUUUAAUUUUAAAAAUACUCAUUGAGAAAAAACACGCACACAAUAUUGUACACUAAAACUAGUUUAUAUAAUAUUGAUUACAAAUCAUAUUUAGACAUUAACUGAAUAAACUAAAAAAAAAUAUCAAAUUCUAAAUAAUUUUGGUUCCUAUUUCAACUUUGAAUUGUGCUUUCACUUCUUUAAAUAUGCACAUUAACAAAAUCAUGCAAUACAAAUCCCCCGUUACCUCUUUCAAUUUUGGUCUCCACCUAAAAAUUAGUCUAAAACGUGAAACUUCUUUAAACUUUGUGGUUCUCGCCGUUGGCGUCUUCUAUCAGUUCUACAAGCCUAAAGCAAUGGCGGUUCCAUAAAAUUAUGUCCUAAAGUAAAAUUUAAUAAGAGUCCUUAUACUUUUUUAUUAGUAUAUAUACACACACAUAUACAAAAAAAAAUAGUGUUGCCAUUUUUUCAUACUUGUUAUUUAUAGCAUAACAUGCUUAAAUGAUGAAACAUUUAACUUCACAUAGUAGUAGUAUUAUUUAUAUUAGUAAGAAGUAACUUAAAUAAAUUGGAUGUAAGACAUGUAUUUUCAAUAUGUUACCUUUGAUUUUGUUGUAAAAAAUAUAUUUACUAAUAUGAAGAUCUAAGUAAUUUAAUUUAAAGUUCUAAAUUAUUUUUAGUGUUAAAGAGUAGAUACUCUUUCUUUCUUUCUUUUGUCCAAGAUUUAUUGUAUUAUUUUUUGCAAACUUUAAUAUUGUCUAACUUGAAAUAAAAUCAUAAAAUCUAUUAUUAAAAAAAUUUGGGGACCUAAAUUAAAGCUUUGUUAGUCUCCUAAUCGAGCCACAUGUCCAUCCUCAUGUUAUUCUCAAUCAAAUUUUAUAGAGUCUCAAUUAAGGUAAGACAAAAAUCAAUGAAUGUGUUAUUUAGUUACUAAGUGUGAAUGAAGUUGUUGAAUAACACGUUCAUGGGCAGUGGUCUAUAAAUAAUUUUUGAUCAUUAAUGAGGGCGGCUCAACGGAAUUGGUGGCUUAAAACUAAAAUAUAUUAAAAGAUCUUGAAAUUUCUUUCAUAAUAUCCAUAUAAUAUUGAGACAAAAAAAAGUGAUGAGAGAACAACGUAUAAUAUGUGGGUCAGGCGUAAAUCAUAUGGUAUUGAACUCGCUAUAAAAAAAUAUAGCAUUAAAUGAAAAUGGUAAAUGGAUUGAGCCUAUUAUCGAUAGUGUUUUGAACCUUACGAUACUUGUCUAUGGGAUUUCUUAGUUAAAAAAUGAGACACAAAAGAACUUGAUUACAUAUAUCAUGAUCUAUCAAAUGUGGAAUAGCUAAUUUAGAGAGUUUGAUUUGAAAUUAGAAAGUAAAAUAGUAAAAAAUAUGAAAAAAGAAAGAAAGAAAAAUAGAAUUGAUGAGAAGAUAAAUAUAUUAUUUAAUUUAGUGAGAGAAAAGUUCUAUCCUAUUAACUCAUUCAAUCCUACAUCUACCAAAUUUAAAUAAAUAUUAGAAUUUAAAAUAUUUUAUCAAUAAUUAUAUAAAUAUGUCACGACCCAAAAUCGAUCAGUCGUGAUGGCACCUAACCUAACCAGCUAGGUAAGCCAACUAAAGCUAUUCAGUUUCAAUAAUUUUAUUAAGUCGAUUAAACAAAAAUAAAUUUACUGAAUUCUAUAUGCAUCCCAAGGACUGGUAAUACAAAUCAUGAGCUUCAAAGAAUAGAGUUUACAAAUCGAAAAUAAAAGAAAUACAUAGUCUGUUUGAAAAGUACAUAAACAGAGUUUUUAUAAGCUAAGGCUACCAUGAGCAACGAAGGCAGCUACAAUAGGGACGCCAGUACAUCUUCAAGUCUCGCAACCAUCGAGCACAGCAACAACAACAACCACAUCUACACGCAAUGUGCAGAAGUGUAGUAUCAGUACAACCAACCACAUGUACUAAGUAAGUAACAGACUUAACCUUAGGUUGAAAACAGUGACGAGCUAACCUAGGAUCGGGUCCAAUGCCAAUAUUUUCCACAACAGUUCAUAACAACAUAAAUGCAAUUAUAAAAGAGAUAUCUCAAAAGUAAAAUACUCAGCUCGUUCACAGUUCCAGAAAAUGGUCAUGCUUUUCAAAUAUCUAAGUGAAAGAAAAUCCCAAAUCUCUUACCGAAAAUGCCAAAGUACGAGUAAGUUUGAAAACUGCAAUUUUUCGAAUAUCCUUUUCACAAUAAAUAAAAUAUUUCAUUUUCUUUCCAAAUAACAAGUAUAAAGUGCCUCUCCAUANNNNNNNNNNNNNNNNNNNNNNNNAACCACAUAUCAAUGUGUAUAAUAAGUCAUGAAUGAUAUGAUACUAUAUAGCAUGAGGAAAAAUGCAUCUCUAUGUCUGUAUGUCAUGUAUGCAUGUAAAUGCCAUGUAUUUCAGAGCUAAAACAUGUACUCACACUCUCAGAGUACUCAAUCUCAUUGUCUCGCUUCCUCUCUCACGAAGCUCAAUACUCAGCACACUAAAUCCCUUAGCGGUGUAUAAUAACUACUGCGGCAUGCAGCCCGAUCCGUAUAUAUAUAUAUAUAGUCGACUACCCUCGCCGGGCAUGAACAGACUCCGGAGGGGCUCCUUCAGCCCAAAUGCUAUAUUGCUGCGGCGUGCAGUUCGACCCAAUAUCGCUGCGGCGUGCAGCCCGAUCUAUAUAUCGUUGCGGCGUGCAGCCCGUUCCAUAUACAUAUAUAUAAUCAAUAUAUCGUUGAGGCGUGCAGCCCGAUCCCAUAAAGUAUAAUAGAUAUAAUAUUAUGUGGCGUGCAGUUCGAUCCAAAAAAUGUCACUCUCACUCUGGCCCUUGGCCUUACUAUGUCAUCAAUAUCUCUAGUCUCACUCACGGGAACAAAAUGUGAUGAAUCUAGCCCGACAACAAUGAUAUGAUGUAUUAAUAACAACAACUGCGACUGAGAUAUGAUAUGAAUGCAUGAAUGUGACAGAGUACAAAAAUAUCAAUGAAAAUCAGUGGGAUGACAACCAGAAAUAACCACUAUGAGUACAAACAAUAUCAACAUGAAGUCUAAACAUGAUGUUUAGCAUGAUUGACAAAAUUACUUUAUCAUAUGGUGAAAAUGUAACGACCCGACCGAUCGUUUUGAGCUCUAGCACGUCGUUCAGCAGUUUAAGGAGAUGAUCAGCAUCAUUUUGGGUAUUAUGACUUGCACGCGUGGUCGUAAUCGAAUUUCGGGAAGUUCAGAGUUGAUUUGGAAAGAGAAUUCUCAUUUCGGAAGCUUUAAGUUGAAAGAAUUAACUUGGAUUGGAUUUUUGAGUAAACGACAUCGGAACCGGGAUUUGAAGGUUCCAGUAGGUUCGUAUGAUGAUUUCGGACUUGGGCGUAUGCCCGGAUUGGGUUUUGGAUGAUCCGGAAGCAUUUUGGCGCCUAUUGUGGAAGUUAGCAUUUUGGAAGAAAUUUCAUAAGUUUGGGUUGAAGUGCAUUUCAGUGUUAUCGAUGUCCGUUUGGGAUUCCAAGUCUGGGAGUAGCUCCGUAUGGUAAUUCUGGAGUUGGGAGUGCGAUCAGAAGUGAAUUCAGAGGUCCGUAGGUCAUUUUGAAGUCAUUUGGCUAAAGAUAGAAAUUGAAGGUUUUUGAGAAGUUUGACCGGAAGUAGACUUUUCGAUAUCGGAGUCGGAUUCCGAUUUCGGAAGUUGGAGUAGGUCCGUAAUGUCAAAUAUGACUUGUGUGCAAAAUUUGAGGUCAAUCGGGCGUAAUUUGAUGGGUUUUGGCAUUGAAUGUAGAAGUUUGAAAUUUCAAAGUUCAUAAAGCUUGAAUUGAAGUGUGAUUCAUGGUUUUAGCAUUGUUUGAUAUGAUUUGAGGCCUCGAACAAGUCCCUAAUGUGUUUUGGGACUGGUUGGCAUAAUUGGUUGGGGUCCUGGGGGCCUCGGGUGGAUUCCGGGUGGUUAACGGAUCGAAUUGGAGCUUGAAGGAUGAGAUGAAGGGGUCUGGUUGCUGGUGUAACCGCUUCUGUGGAGGGUUCACCGCAGAACAGGCUCUGUAGAAGCGAGUAAGGGAACCGCAGAAGCGGUUAGAAGUGAAGGGAUCAGAGGCAGUGGGUGCGAAGGAAUUCCCGUGCCUGCGUGAUCGUAGAUGCGGCCGGUGCGGCGCAGAAGCGGGCUGGGGUAGGAGGAGGAGGACCGCAGAAGCGGUAUUGUAACCGCACUUGUGGAAACGCAGAAGCGGCCAAGUGACCGCAGGUGCGGAUCUGGCUGGAGGCAGUGCGUUUUUUAAAAAUCGGGGAUUUGGCCAUUUUCUCUCAUAUUUUCUUGGCUUGGGCGAUUCCUGGAGGGUUUCAAGAGGGGAUUUUCAUCAUCAACGACAAGGUAAGCUAUCUCCACCUAUCUUGAGUUAAAUAGAUUGAUUAUGUACGGAUUUUAGCAUGAAAUUUGUAGAAACUUGGGGUUUGAGGGAAAACCUAGAAAAUUGAUAUUCUUGGAAUUUGACCACGAUUUUGGGUAUGAAAUUGAGAGUAAAUUAUAUAUUUGAGUUCGUGAGAUUAUGGGUAAAGUUUAUCUUUGAAAAAUUUUGGAAUCCGGGCACGUGGGCCCGAUGGCAUAUUUGUCAACUUUUUGAUCGGGGUUAGAAAUUGUUAUAAAUUGGAUCAUUAGGGGUAAUUGAGUAUAUAUUAAUGGAUUGGUAUUAUUAUUGGCUAGCUUUAGAGCUUUGUUCAUCGAUUCGAGUCUUCGAAAGAACGUGGAAUGCCGAUUAUGGAUCUUCGGAGCGAGGUGAGUCUCCUUUCUAACCUUGUAGGAGGGAAUUGUCCCCAUAGGUGAAAUAAUUGAUUAUGUGCUUCUAUUCGUGGGGGCUACGUACGCACGAGUUGAUGAGAGUCCAUGCAUAGCUACUAUUAUGUUUAAGUCCGGGUAGUUUAGGACCCAAAAACAUGCUAUACUUGGAAUAUUUUUAAUCAUGUUGGCAGUUUGAUUUGCUUAAAUCACAUCGAAAUAGUAAAUGAAUUUCUAAAAAGAUUAAACUUCAUUUUCUAAAAUCUUUAAAAGAGAAUUGGCUUUUCUUUGGAUAAUUGUUCCAUGUUGACUACUUGAUUGACUGUCUGUGUGUGUUUAAUUUCGGAACGGGCCUAACGCCUCGGUAAAUUGAAUAGAUGCAUCUAUGGUUCGUGCCAUUCGACCCUCUGGCAGUGCACAGUUUAAAUAUUGUUGGAUCGGGUCGUACGUCCUCGGCAUGAUAUGCGCAUGCUUGUAUUGCUUGCCUGAGAAUUUUAAAUGUUGAUAUUGCCUUUCCUGGCCCAAUAUAAAUUGAUAAAGAUAAUGAAAAGUAAAUCUUGGAAAUCCCUUAUUAUUUGAGAAGGUGUUACCUGCUUUUCGGCUUUAUAAGCUAUAAUUGCUAUAUAAAUCCAUAAUUUCCUCACAUCUUCACUAUAUUAUUAUUGGACCACUAGCGAGUGUCGAAGUCGACCUCUCAUCUCUACUUCUUCGAGAUUAGACGGGAUACUAGCUGAGUACACGUUGUUUUCGUACUCAUGCUACACUUGUUGUGCAUUUUUUUUUUUGCACAGGCACAUCCAUCUCUAGUGGCCUAGUGGGUGUACCAACUUGGUUGAUAUGGAAACUUAGGUGAGCUGCCGUUCCCGAGACGACCUGCAGCCAGCAAGGCUCUUUCAGAUUAUUGUAUUUAUUUUCUGACCAAUAUUGUAUUCCGGACGGUUGUUGUAUUACAUUAUUUCUUAGAAAUUGCUCAUGCACUUGUGACACUGGGUUCUGGGAUGUAAUUGGGU